rnacentral:rRNA from 1 species
CCUACGGGUGGCAGCAGUGGGGAAUAUUGGACAAUGGGGGGAACCCUGAUCCAGCCAUGCCGCGUGUGUGAAGAAGGCCCUCGGGUUGUAAAGCACUUUCAGUGAGGAAGAACGCCUGGUGGUUAAUACCUAUCAGGAAAGACAUCACUCACAGAAGAAGCACCGGCUAACUCCGUGCCAGCAGCCGCGGUAAUACGGAGGGUGCGAGCGUUAAUCGGAAUUACUGGGCGUAAAGCGCGCGUAGGUGGCUUGAUAAGCCGGUUGUGAAAGCCCCGGGCUCAACCUGGGAACGGCAUCCGGAACUGUCAAGCUAGAGUGCAGGAGAGGAAGGUAGAAUUCCCGGUGUAGCGGUGAAAUGCGUAGAGAUCGGGAGGAAUACCAGUGGCGAAGGCGGCCUUCUGGACUGACACUGACACUGAGGUGCGAAAGCGUGGGUAGCAAACAGGAUUAGAUACCCUAGUAGUC